UAUUAACACGUAGGUACAUACCCUAAAGUGGGGCACAGCUCGUCGAAAGACGGGGUAAUUUCCCAUAAUAUCGCAAGAUUAAACCCGCAAGGGGCUUUAGGAAUGGCCUGCGGCCUAUCAGAUAGUUGGCGAGGUAAUAGCUCACCAAGUCUAUGACGGGUAGGGGGCGUGAGAGCGCGACCCCCAUGAAUGGCACUGCGACGCGGGCCAUACUCCUACGGGAGGCUGCAGUCGAGAAUCUUCCGCAAUGGGCGAAAGCCUGACGGAGCGACGUUACGUGAAUGAAGAAGCUCUUCGGAGUGUAAAGUUCUUUUCUAUGGGAGGAAGUUAUUGACAGUACCAUAGGAAUAAGGGGAUCCUAAUUCUGUGCCAGCAGGAGCGGUAAGACAGAAUCCCCAAGCGUUACCCGGAUUUAUUGGGCGUAAAGGGUCCGUAGGUGGUUAUGUAAGUCUUUGGUUAAAUCUCAUCGGCUCAACCUUUGAGACUCCAAAGAUACUGCGUAACUUGAGGGCGUUAGGGGUGAAACGAACCGACGGAGUAGGGGUGAAAUCCGUUGAUAUCGUCGGGAACACCAAAAGCGAAGGCAGUUCACUAGGAUGACCCUGACACUGAGGGACGAAAGCGUGGGGAGCAAAAAGGAUUAGAUACCCUUGUAGUCCACGCUGUAAACGAUGGAUACUGGCUAUGUGAACGUGUCGACCCUUCACGUGGGCGAAGCUAACGCGUUAAGUAUCCCGCCUGGGAAGUACGGUGGAACACUAAAACUCAAAGGAUUAGACGGGGACUCACACAAGCGGUGGACCAUGUGGCUUAAUUCGACAACAAACGAAGAACCUUACCAGGACUGGAAAUCUGCAUGAAAGCUCUAUGAAAGUAGAGCCUCUCACAAGGCAAUGCAGACAGGUGCUGCAUGGUUGUCGUCAGUUCGUGUCUUGAGACGUACCGUUAAUUCGGGUAACGAACGCAACCUUGCCCCUGUGUUUUAAAUGUCACAGGGGACUGCCCGAGAUAAUUGGGAGGAAGGCGAGGAUGACGCCAAAUCAGCAUGGCCCUUUGAUGUCCUGGCCGCACACGUGGUACAAUGGCCGGUACAAUGCGCUUCGAUGCCGCAAGGCGGAGAUAAUCGCACCAAAGCCGUCUCAGUUCGGAUUGGAGUCU
rnacentral:rRNA from 1 species